UUUAAAGAGAGUUUGAUCCUGGCUCAGGACGAACGCUGGCGGCGUGCCUAAUACAUGCAAGUCGAACGAACGGAGGAAGAGCUUGCUCUUCCAAUGUUAGUGGCGGACGGGUGAGUAACACGUGGGCAACCUGCCUGUAAGUUGGGGAUAACUCCGGGAAACCGGGGCUAAUACCGAAUGAUAAAGUGUGGCGCAUGCCACGCUUUUGAAAGAUGGUUUCGGCUAUCGCUUACAGAUGGGCCCGCGGUGCAUUAGCUAGUUGGUA
rnacentral:rRNA from 1 species